rnacentral:tRNA from 3 species
GCGCCCGUAGCUCAGCUGGAUAGAGCGCCGGACUUCGAAUCCGUAGGUCGCAGGUUCGAAUCCUGCCGGGCGCG